GACGAACGCUGACGGCGUGCCUAAUACAUGCAAGUCGUACGCAGUUGCGAACGGGUGUGUAACGCGUAGGUCACUACCUUUUCGCGGGGGAUAACUAUUGGAAACGAUAGCUAAUACCGCCUACUAGUAGAUGGACCUGCGUUGUAUUAGCUAGUAGGUAGGGUAAUGGCCUACCUAGGCCACGAUACAUAGCCGACCGGAGUCGGCGGUACCCCAGAAUGGGACGGAAACAGCGCCCAGUCCCCGACGGGAGGCAGCAGGAGGGAAUAUGCGGCAAGGGGGGGAACCCUGACCGAGCAACGCUGCGUGAGGGAAGAAGGUUUUUGGAUAGCAAAGCGCCGUUGUUAAGGAAGCGGUACUUAACCAGAAAGGGACAGCUAACGACGUGUCAGCAGCCGCGGUAAUAC
rnacentral:rRNA from 1 species